rnacentral:rRNA from 1 species
AGAGUUUGAUCCUGGCUCAGGACGAACGCUGGCGGCGUGCUUAACACAUGCAAGUCGAGCGGUAAGGCACCUUCGGGUGUACACGAGCGGCGAACGGGUGAGUAACACGUGAGUAACCUGCCCUUCUCAUCGGAAUAAGCGUUGGAAACGACGUCUAAUGCCGAAUAUGACUUCGGACCGCAUGGUCUGAAGUGGAAAGCUCCGGCGGAGAAGGAUGGACUCGCGGCCUAUCAGCUAGUUGGUGAGGUAACGGCUCACCAAGGCGACGACGGGUAGCCGGCCUGAGAGGGUGACCGGCCACACUGGGACUGAGACACGGCCCAGACUCCUACGGGAGGCAGCAGUGGGGGAUCUUGCGCUAAUGCGCGAAAGCGUGAUGCAGCGACGCCGCGUGGGGGAUGAAGGCCUUCGGGUUGUAAACCCCUUUCGGCAGGGACGAAGGGAAACUGACGGUACCUGCAGAAGAAGUCCCGGCUAACUACGUGCCAGCAGCCGCGGUAAU